rnacentral:rRNA from 1 species
GAUGAACGCUGGCGGCGUGCCUAACACAUGCAAGUCGAGCGAUCCUCUUCGGAGAAGAGCGGCGGACGGGUGAGUAACGCGUGGGUAACCUGCCCUGUACACACGGAUAACAUACCGAAAGGUAUGCUAAUACGAGAUAAUAUGCUUUUAUCGCAUGGUAGAAGUAUCAAAGCUUUUGCGGUACAGGAUGGACCCGCGUCUGAUUAGCUAGUUGGUAAGGUAACGGAUUACCAAGGCGACGAUCAGUAGCCGACCUGAGAGGGUGAUCGGCCACAUUGGAACUGAGACACGGUCCAAACUCCUACGGGAGGCAGCAGUGGGGAAUAUUGCACAAUGGGCGAAAGCCUGAUGCAGCAACGCCGCGUGAGCGAUGAAGGCCUUCGGGUCGUAAAGCUCUGUCCUCAAGGAAGAUAAUGACGGUACUUGAGGAGGAAGCCCCGGCUAACUACGUGCCAGCAGCCGCAGUAA